CAGACUAGAGUNCAGUAGGGGAGACUGGAAUUCCUGGUGUAGCGGUGGAAUGCGCAGAUAUCAGGAGGAACACCGAUGGUGAAGGCAGGUCUCUGGGCUGUAACUGACGCUGAGAAGCGAAAGCAUGGGGAGCGAACAGGAUUAGAUACCCUGGUAGUCCAUGCCGUAAACGUUGGGCACUAGGUGUGGGGGACAUUCCACGUUUUCCGCGCCGUAGCUAACGCACUAAGUGCCCCGCCUGGGGAGUACGGCCGCAAGGCUAAAACUCAAAGAAAUUGACGGGGGCCCGCACAAGCGGCGGAGCAUGCGGAUUAAUUCGAUGCAACGCGAAGAACCUUACCAAGGCUUGACAUAUACUGGACCGCAUCAGAGAUGGUGUUUCCCUUCGGGGCUGGUAUACAGGUGGUGCAUGGUUGUCGUCAGCUCGUGUCGUGAGAUGUUGGGUUAAGUCCCGCAACGAGCGCAACCCUCGUUCUAUGUUGCCAGCACGUUAUGGUGGGGACUCAUAGGAGACUGCCGGGGUCAACUCGGAGGAAGGUGGGGAUGACAUCAAAUCAUCAUGCCCCUUAUGUCUUGGGCUUCACGCAUGCUACAAUGGCCGGUACAGAGGGUUGCGAUACUGUGAGGUGGAGCUAAUCCCUAAAAGCCGGUCUCAGUUCGGAUUGGGGUCUGCAACUCGACCCCAUGAAGUCGGAGUCGCUAGUAAUCGCAGAUCAGCAACGCUGCGGUGAAUACGUUCCCGGGCCUUGUACACACCGCCCGUCAAGUCACGAAAGUUGGUAACACCCAAAGCCGGUGGCCUAACCCUUUUGGGAGGGA
rnacentral:rRNA from 1 species